rnacentral:lncRNA from 10 species
GGAAAAUCAUAUGCGUGCUCAAGCAGCUAAAAAAAAAAAAAAAAAAGACACAAAGGAAUGAUUUGUUCCCUCCGGGUUUUAUAUUCUCUUGCCAGAUCCUUUAAUUAUGCUUCUAUUCUUUUUUCUCAAAUUUAAUUUUCCCCCAGACUUAAAUAAAGAACAGAUGAUGCUUCAUAGAAGACUUGGUAAAAUAGCCUUUCAUAAGUUAUUUCUGCUUGGGUGCAGGUCCUGGCUUGAUCUCCAAUUCGCUGUGUGAUCCUGGGUUGUUAUUUACCUCCUGGAAGGUUCAGUCUCUCCAACUGUAACAUCGGAUUGAGAAUAUGUGCCACUAAAUGGCCUCAAGAAAAAGGAAAAGAAGGCUGAGCUUUGCAAGAGGCAAGGGAGCGGCAGCCCAGAUAGAUGUUGGGUGCUGGGAGGAAGAUUGGGGUUAAUCCUGGCUCAAGGUUUUCUUCUCUUUGCCAUCACUUUUGAAGACUUCAGUACACAUGCCGGCAGUGCAUCUGACAGCUUGGUCUCCCAGGUCUUCUUGUCUUAACACCACUGAUAUUCUCUCAACAAAUGAUCCUUUUGAUGACACUGACUAUCAAGUCUUCAUUCAAAAUCAUUCAUUCAUUCAUUCAAUAGGCAAGUUCCAAGUGACUCCUACAUGUCAAGAACUUCUUAAGGAUUCGGAGUAUAAAAAUUAGAAAAUUUCCUCGACCUUGAGCUCCAUUGUGAGAAACAGAUGAAGAAACUACAGUGUCAUUAAUGACUAUCAUAAUGGAAUGCCCUAGGGGAAUGUGAAGAAGGAGACCUCUCUAAGCCCAGACUGUAUCCCAGCCACUAUUUUUCCCUCAAUGUCACUAAAUGCAAGGGAAUAAUGAAACCACAGGAGAGAAAAAAGCAGCUGUCUGAAUAAAAGAAGAAAGAGGUAGAUGCACAGAAACAGACGGACGUAAAAAAAAAAAAAAAUUUCAACAGCAUUCAGGUUGCAGAGGUCCACUGCACUCCUGUGCUUAAGAGUCUGUAAGACGUCAACAGGCUUUGCACAAUAAAUAAUCCUUUUGCUCAAGCUAGUUUAAAGAAGUGUGAAUGGGGGUUGGGGGUUGGUAUUUUGUGCCACUAAUGAGUUCUAACUACUCAUUACCUUAUUCAUACACAAAAUAAAAAAUGGUA